UGGGGAAUAUUGGACAAUGGGCGCAAGCCUGAUCCAGCCAUGCCGCGUGAGUGAAGAAGGCCUUCGGGUUGUAAAGCUCUUUUAGUCGGAAAGAAAGAGUUGCAAUGAAUAAUUGUGAUUUAUGACGGUACCGACAGAAAAAGCACCGGCUAACUACGUGCCAGCAGCCGCGGUAAUACGUAGGGUGCGAGCGUUAAUCGGAAUUACUGGGCGUAAAGGGUGCGCAGGCGGUCUUGCAAGUCAGAUGUGAAAGCCCCGGGCUUAACCUGGGAAUUGCGUUUGAAACUACAAGACUAGAGUGCAGCAGAGGGGAGUGGAAUUCCAUGUGUAGCAGUGAAAUGCGUAGAGAUGUGGAAGAACACCGAUGGCGAAGGCAGCUCCCUGGGUUGACACUGACGCUCAUGCACGAAAGCGUGGGGAGCAAACA
rnacentral:rRNA from 1 species